rnacentral:rRNA from 1 species
UAGGGAAUCUUAGACAAUGGGGGAAACCCUGAUCUAGCCAUGCCGCGUGUGUGAUGAAGGCCUUAGGGUCGUAAAGCACUUUCGCCAGAGAUGAUAAUGCCAGUAUCUGGUAAAGAAACCCCGGCUAACUCCGUGCCAGCAGCCGCGGUAAUACGGAGGGGGUUAGCGUUGUUCGGAAUUACUGGGCGUAAAGCGCACGUAGGCGGAUUAGUAAGUUAGAGGUGAAAUCCCAGGGCUCAACCCUGGAACUGCCUUUAAUACUGCUAGUCUUGAGUUCGAGAGAGGUAAGUGGAAUUCCAAGUGUAGAGGUGAAAUUUGUAGAUAUUUGGAGGAACACCAGUGGCGAAGGCGGCUUACUGGCUCGAUACUGACGCUGAGGUGCGAAAGUGUGGGGAGCAAACAGGAUUAGAUACCCUGGUAGUCCACCCCGUAAACGAUGAAUGCCAGACGUCAGCAAGUAUACUUGUCGGUGUCACACCUAACGGAUUAAGCAUUCCGCCUGGGGAGUACGGUCGCAAG